GCUCAUGUAGCUCAGUGGUAGAGCACACCCUUGGUAAGGGUGAGGUCGGCGGUUCAAGUCCGCCCAUGAGCUCCA
rnacentral:tRNA from 4 species